rnacentral:rRNA from 1 species
AUAAUAAAUUGUUCUUUAAUUGAGUUCUGGAAUGAAAGGAAUAAUGAAAUAAAAUCUUUAUUAAAUUAAUAAAUAAAAAUUGAUUAUUAAAUAAAAAGGUUUAAAUUUAUUUUUAAGACGAGAAGACCCUAGAGAAUUUUAAUAAUAAUUUUAAUAAUAUAAUUUAAGAAUAUUAAUUAUUAUUAUUUUAAUUGGGGAGAUUAUUAAAUUUAAUAAACUUUAUAUAAAUAAACAUAAAUAAAUGAUUAAAUGAUAAUUAAAUAAAUAGAAAAAUUACCUUA